AGUUGAGGACUUUUAAAUGCGCGCACGCGUGAUAAAAUAAGCCAGAGUGUUUCUCUUAGAGAAACUUUUGUCUGCUGUAAAAAGGCAGACGAAUAAGGACUGGGCAAGACCGGUGCCAGCCGCCGCGGUAAUACCGGCGGUCCAAGUCGCAUCCACAUUUAUUGGGUCUAAAACAUUCGUAGCUUGUUCUGUAAGUCUCUUGUGAAAUCUCAUAUCUCAAGUAUGAGGCGCGCAAGAGGUACUGCAUUACUAGAGACCGGAAGACGUAAGGAGUACGAUUAAGGUAGCGGUAAAAUGUGUUAAUCUUAAUCGGACUAACAAUGGCGAAGGCACCUUACGAGUACGGAUCUGACAGUGAGGGAUGAAGGCUAGGGGCGCAAAAGGGAUUAGAUACCCCUGUAGUCCUAGCAGUAAACACUGUUCACUAAACAUCAGUACCUCCUAGAGAGGUAUUGGUGCUGUAGGGAAGCCGAAGAGUGAACUACCUGGGAAGUAUAGUCGCAAGGCCGAAACUUAAAGGAAUUGGCGGGGAGGCACUACAACGGGUGACGCGUGCGGUUUAAUUAGAGUUUACACCGUGAAUCUUACCAGGAGCGACAGCAGAAUGAAGGUCAGUCUAAAGGGCUUACCUGACACGCUGAGAGGAGUUGCAUGGCCGACAUAAGCCUGUGUCGUGAGAUGACUUGUUAAAUCAAGUAACAGGCGAGACCCCUGUGUUUAAUUUCUACGCAAAGAGCACAUUAAACAGACUGCCUUGGUAACAAGGAGGAAGGUGGGGGCGAUGUUAGGUGGGUACAGCCCGAAUCCCCUGGGCGACACGCGCGCGGCAAUGUCACAUUCAAUGAGAUGCGACUCUGAGAAGAGAAGCUAAUCUCCUAAAGUGUGGCCUAGUUCAGAUUGAGGUUUGUAACCCAACCUCAUGACGAUGGAAUCCGUAGUAAUCGUUUGUUAUCAGCGAACGGUGAAUACGU
rnacentral:rRNA from 1 species